GCCCUUCGCGGCCGCUGCAGAGUUUGAUCCUGGCUCAGGACGAACGCUGGCGGCGUGCCUAACACAUGCAAGUCAAGGGGCAGCAAUGGAGCAAUCUGUUGCUGCCACUGGCGCACGGGUGAGUAACGCGUAGGUAACCUGCCCUCAGCCCUGCAAUAACCCCGGGAAACUGGGGCUAAUGGCAGAUGAGGUCGGUGGGGGAAGUUCCCACCGAUCAAAGGGGCAACCCGGCUGGGGACGGGCCUGCGUCCUAUCAGGUAGUUGGUGGGGUAACGGCCCACCAAGCCGACGACGGGUAGCUGGCCUGAGAGGGUGGUCAGCCACACCGGCACUGAGACACGGGCCGGACUCCUACGGGAGGCAGCAGUGGGGAAUCUUGCACAAUGGGCGAAGAGCCUGAUGCAGCGACGCCGCGUGCGGGAAGAAGGGGCGUAUGCCCUGUAAACCGCUGUCGGGGGGGAGGAAAGGGGGGAGCAUGCUCCCCUGGGACAGUACCCCCAGAGGAAGGGCCGGCUAACUACGUGCCAGCAGCCGCGGUAAAACGUAGGGCCCGAGCGUUGUCCGGAAUCACUGGGUGUAAAGGGUGCGUAGGCGGGCGUGCGCGUCUGGGGUGAAAGGCUCCGGCUCAACAGGAGACAUGCCCUGGGUACGGCACGUCUUGGGUGCGGGAGAGGGCGAUGGAAUUCCUGGUGUAGCGGUGAAAUGCGUAGAUAUCANGAGGAACACCGGUGGCGAAAGCGGUCGCCUGGNCCGCAACCGACGCUGAGGCACGAAAGCGUGGGGAGCAAACAGGAUUAGAUACCCUGGUAGUCCACGCCCUAAACGAUGCGCGCUUGCUGUUG
rnacentral:rRNA from 1 species